AACUCAUGAAUUUAAGACAACAUGGACAAUUUCAAACAUUUAGAUGGAUCUUAUAACUACUUGUAAAUCCUGAGAUGGUUGCACAUUUUAGAAGGCGCACUAUGUGUUGACUUAUGCAUACUUAAAGGGAUUGUGGUUCUCGCCUGAAUGAUCGACUGAUCAUGGUCAAAUUUUACUAUAUGGCACGAAUGAAUUAUAGAAUUAUUCCUCGUAGGAUGGUCGUGUUUAAGAGGUUUGUUAGGCAUUCGGGCGGUGGAGUUGGGAUCAGAUAUGGUGAUAUGUGUGUUCUAUGGAGUUAGAGACCGAGAGGUUUCAGAAGCAAAUUGUUUCGAGUGGUCGACUGUGAAGAUAUGGACAAAGCUACCCAGAUGAUAGUAUGUGUUAUGGUUAGGUCGUUGAGAACUUUCGGAGGGUUAAUUAUCUAUUUGC
rnacentral:lncRNA from 1 species